rnacentral:rRNA from 1 species
UACGUAGGGGGCAAGCGUUGUCCGGAAUCAUUGGGCGUAAAGCGCGUGUAGGCGGCUAGGUAAGUCUGCUCUGAAAGCCCGGGGCUCAACCCCGGGAGGCGGGUGGAUACUGUCUAGCUCGAGUCCGGUAGAGGAGUGUGGAAUUCCUGGUGUAGCGGUGAAAUGCGCAGAUAUCAGGAGGAACACCAAUGGCGAAGGCAGCACUCUGGGACGUGACUGACGCUGAGACGCGAAAGCGUGGGGAGCAAACAGG